CAGAGAUGCUAAGCAGUUGGUUACGCUUCCAUUCAGAAAGGCCAAGAAGCUUUGCAGAAAAAAGAAUUAUUCUUCCGCAAGGAAUCCAGUGGGAAAUGUUGAGGUUGGAGCAUUGCAGGUGACUAGGACAAUCCGUGGCUGUCAUUCUUUCAGAUACCUCAAUUGAAUACUGAAUCAUGAGAGUGAUUGAUUCUCUUUGCCAAGCAUUGGUGCCAAUGACUGAGAAAAUAAAGGCUUGAUGCUAUCUUCUCAUUGCCUAUAAAUAAUGGUAAUAGAUCACCAAUUAUUGAAAUUGAAGUAAUCCAUUGACUGAGAAAAUAACUGAAGUAUCAUGUUCCUAUUUUCACAGGUGGAUUAACCUUCCCCCUCCCCCUCCAGGAUCAUUCAUCUUUUCAUAGCAUUCAAUAGGUUCCCUUCAAAACCCUGUGACAGUUUGAUGCAGACAAAGAGGGAAUUCCAAAUGAACUAUGGUUUUGUUGGGGAAAAAUGAACACAAGCUUAAUAUAGUUGGGGGCAUCUUCUUUAUUAAAAAAAAAAAAAACACUUGAAUUAUUAAAUUGUCAGAGCACAAAUAUUGAGUCGUUUGCUCAUUACCUAAUAUUUUUUUUAAGAAAAAGAAAAGAUUUAUUAAGGAUUAAAAAGAAUGGAGCUUUAGACAUUACCCUCAAAACAAAACUAGGAGCAAAAGCUUGAUACAAAAAUCAAAAACAGACAAAAAAACUAAGAAGAAUAUCAGGGUGAUAACCUUUGUUUAUUCUAAAUGAUCUUCAUGCAGUUUCUGGUUGAAUCGUCUCUUGGGCCUUCUUAAACUUAGAAUUCUUUUUCUUCCUCUUGUUUUCCACUGUCAAUCUUGAUUUGAAUCAUUCUUCUCCUUGGAAAUAGUAGGUUUAAUUAGAUUUUCACCAACUUGAUCACCUUUCUUCGCAGGAGUAGCUAAUUGAUCAAAGUUCACUUUGUGCCUUGCUUCAGAAACACCUUGAGCUCUAUAUCAAUGAGAUAAACCGUAAAGGAGGACGACCAUGGACACAUUUUCCAAUCAAAGCAUACUUCAGCGGUGAGAGGGAUCUCUGUAUCUCUUCAGGAAAUAGCACGGCUGGCUCAUCCCAAUGGAGAGUAGGGCUUCUCUCUUCAAUAAUGAUAUUCUCAGGGACUACAGGCGUUAAGACAGUAUCCAACCGAAGUAAUUAAGCAAAAGACGGCAGCUGGGUAUGGGGAAUACCUGGUGGAUCUGAUGGCUUCUCUAGGGUUCCCAUCCUAACGAAUCGAUGCUUGCAAACUUCAACAACCUGAUCUCCAACCCCCCAAAAAAGUGGAGAGGAGGAACUCAAAUCAUCACACUUGCACUGGAAGUAAAGAAAGUGGAACUAACCUACCAUUUGCUGUGUAUUUACCAACAGAAAAAAAAAGAAGGGUAUCUAUUUACUAACAGAAGAAAAAUUAGGAAGCCCCUAGCCCUGAACUAACCUACCAUUAUCUUUGUUGCUACCUUCCUUUCAAAUUUCAAUCAAUUAUUCGUCAAUAAGCUUUAAUGUCUUCUCUUCCAAUACCAAUCAUUGUUCAUCACAAUCAAUAGAAGUACUUGUCUUUGUGCUUAUUUAAACUUUAACAAAGUGAUUGCAAGUAUGAGAGAUGGGAGUCUAGCAUCGAUCACGUUG